rnacentral:rRNA from 1 species
UACGUAGGGGGCAAGCGUUGUCCGGAUUUAUUGGGCGUAAAGAGCGCGUAGGCGGCCUGGUAGGUCAGCUGUGAAAACUCGAGGCUCAACCUCGAGACGCCGGUUGAAACCAUCAGGCUAGAGUCCGGAAGAGGAGAGUGGAAUUCCCGGUGUAGCGGUGAAAUGCGCAGAUAUCGGGAAGAACACCCGUGGCUAAGGCGGCUCUCUAGUACGGUACUGACGCUGAGACGCGAAAGCGUGGGGAGCGAACAGG